rnacentral:rRNA from 1 species
AGGGUUUGAUCAUGGCUCAGGAUGAACGCUAGCGGCAGGCCUAACACAUGCAAGUCGAGGGGUAACGAUGGCUUCGGCCAGGCGACGACCGGCGCACGGGUGAGUAUCGCGUUUGUAACCUACCUCUGACUGGAGGAUAGCCCGAAGAAAUUCGGAUUAAUACUCCAUAAUACUAUGGACAGGCAUCUGUUCAUGGUUAAAGCCCCGGCGGUCAGAGAUGGGCAUGCGUGACAUUAGCUUGUUGGUGAGGUAACAGCUCACCAAGGCUACGAUGUCUAGGGGGUCUGAGAGGAUGGUCCCCCACACUGGUACUGAGACACGGACCAGACUCCUACGGGAGGCAGCAGUGAGGAAUAUUGGUCAAUGGGCGAAAGCCUGAACCAGCCAUGCCGCGUGAAGGAUGACAGCCCUAUGGGUUGUAAACUUCUUUUGUACGGGAAGAAACGCCUCUACGUGUAGAGGUUUGACGGUACCGUACGAAUAAGCAUCGGCUAACUCCGUGCCAGCAGCCGCGGUAAUACGGAGGAUGCAAGCGUUAUCCGGAUUUAUUGGGUUUAAAGGGUACGUANGCGGGAGCUUAAGUCAGUGGUGAAAUCCUGCAGCUUAACUGUAGAACUGUCAUUGAUACUGGGCUUCUUGAAUGUAGUUGAGGUAGGCGGAAUGUGUAAUGUAGCGGUGAAAUGCUUAGAUAUUACACAGAACACCGAUGGCGAGGGCAGCUUACUAAACUACGAUUGACGCUGAAGGUAGGAAAGCGUGGGGAGGCGACAAGGAUAGAUACCCUGGUAGUCCACGCUGUAAACGAUGAUCACUCGUGUUGGCAUACACCGUCAGCGACUGAGCGAAGCAUUUAAGUGCUCCACCUGGGGAGUACGUCGGCAACGAUGAACUCAAAAGGAAUUGACGGGGGCCCGCACAAGCGGAGGAACAUGUGGUUUAAUUCGAUGAUACGCGAGGAACCUUACCUGGGCUUAAAUGUAGAGUGCAUUGCUUGGAAACAGGCAUNUUCUUCGGAACUCUUUACAAGGUGCUGCAUGGUUGUCGUCAGCUCGUGCCGUGAGGUGUCGGGUUAAGUCCCAUAACGAGCGCAACCCCUAUUGUUAGUUACCAGCACGUAAUGGUGGGGACUCUAGCAAGACUGCCGGUGUAAACCGUGAGGAAGGUGGGGAUGACGUCAAAUCAGCACGGCCCUUAUGUCCAGGGCUACACACGUGUUACAAUGGCAAGUACAAAGAGCAGCCACCUGGCGACAGGGCGCUAAUCUCAAAAGCUUGCCUCAGUUCGGAUCGAAGUCUGCAACUCGACUUCGUGAAGGUGGAUUCGCUAGUAAUCGCGCAUCAGCCAUGGCGCGGUGAAUACGUUCCCGGGCCUUGUACACACCGCCCGUCAAGCCAUGGAAGCCGGGGGUACCUGAAGUCCGUAACCGCAAGGAUCGGCCUAGGGUAAAACAAGUGACUGGGGCUAAGUCGUAACAAGGUAACC